CUCUUUCUUCUUUGUGAGACCAACAACAAGAAAUUCAAGCUUUCGGGAAUCAAUCCCAAGCCUUUAGUCUUUUCUUAUCGAGCUAAGACAACACAACAAACAAACACACAUGAGAAUGAACUUGAAGAGGAUGAGCGACAAGAGCCUAAUGGUGAAGAUGUUGAUCCUGGAGAUCGAGAUGAUGAUGAAGAUGAAGAGGAUGGGUUUCUUUUUUGUUCCUAUGUUUUCCCCAAAUUUCAGAUGUUAUGUUUGAGGUUCCUGCUUAUCUAGGGUUUCUAAAUUUUCAACAUCUGAUUACCGGCGUUUGAGCUCCACUUUAAUUUGAGGGAAGGAUCAUGAGACCGAAGAGAUGCAAGUUGUUGCUGAUGAUUACAUAACAACCAAGGGCUAUUUACGGGAUUUUUCACCAUUGCUCUUUGCUGGGAGAUCCAACAGAUCACACGGGUAGCUUAUUUCGAUGGUAUGCCACAUGUCAAUGAUGAUGUCAUAAUUCCGGUUUAUAAUCCAUCCAGCUGAGCUGUCGAGUUCUUGAACAACUCUUAUGCAGCAAAUAUGGAUGGACAUAUGUGAACAUGAAGCAGAGAAAGACAAUAUGUUAAUGGAAUUAGAAAGAGAGUGAGUUGAAGUGUAUAGAAGAAAGCUUCAUGAGGCUUCAACUCUUGUGUUUGCAAAGCAUAGAAGCCCAAGAGCGUGAAAAAUGGUUGCGGUAAAGAAAGGCCAAACCGAGCGAGAACUUGGUAACACCAUCAUGCUUCUAGAGGAGACUAUUCACAACUUUGUGGAUCAUCAAAAACCACAAGCCGAGCUUGACGGUAAGGCAUGUGCGGCUGUUCGACAAAACGGUCUUAUGGCACUUUAUGAUACACUGUUUAGCCAGGUUGAUCAGUGGUUUAUAAUCGGACCGUCCAGUUCCUUCAUCAGGACCAUCAUAACUUGAAUACAUAUAAUCUCCGAUGAAAACAACCGUUUUUCCGGCGUGGAGGCGGUGGAGGAACCGGCUGCCGCGACAUUAUUUUCUGGAAACAUGUUUACUUUUUCGUCGUCGUUCAACUUCACAGAUGGAUUGUAUUGAUGUUAUGAGAAGGGCAUUGUUUCCGAGUGAAAGAAGGUGACCAUGUCAUUGUUGGAUUUGUGCAGGCCUCCACUAAUUGUUUCUCGAUCCGAUUAUCGGCAAUCCAAAGAGGGACAAGAUGUUUAUCUUGAUCAGGUUAAAGCAGUGUUGCUGGAGUGUGCCGGGCACUUUGGCUUGUGUGCAAGUGUGGAAGCGAAGGGUAAUAAAGUGGUUUAGUGAUUUGGUGGUUUCAUAUCAAUGUAGUUCUUUCCAUUUACGUUUUUUUCUAUUCGUAUGUAGUGAAAUUGGCUGAAUUUAUGAAAUGUUUUUAGAGCUUUAUUGGAAGAACCGAGACGAGAGGGUUUUUGAACUAAAGUAUACGGAUACAACCAUGCUCCUGGAAAGUAUUAAGGCAGAAUGAAAUCAUACUGGUGGAUGGUUAAAAGGAGAAAAAUUGCAGAUCUCACCUUAGAUAGCUGGAACAAUUUUGUAAAACUUGGAUUUUUGUAUAGGCUUCUGUGUAGUUUGUUUGUUGUUUUUAUUCUA